GAUAAGGCUGGGCGGGCCGCGUGCGUGCGUGCGGGGAGGGACUUCGUUCACCAGUGGAGGCAGGGACUAGUGAACUGUGAGCGCUGCGACAGUGGUUGCUGUGACGACGCGGACGGGCGCUGGCGGGGCUGUACCGCUGCCCGCUGAGCGUACAGGAGCCUUGUUGCCCCAGCGCUUUGGCUUGGCUUCCCGCAGGCUCGCCGCGACGAGAAUAGCCCGUGGAGGCUUAGAGGUGCGGAAGAAAGGCCGCCCAGCUCAGGCGGGGAUCGGGUCUAGGGCGCAGAAGUCUGCACUUGUGUCCCUUCUUGGUGGACCAGCGAGGCAGUUACGAGCGCAGACUACCGACAAGUGAUAGCCACCUCAUCCCAGCGUGCCGUGCUCUCGGCAACUCGACGAACGUGACCCAUGCGAUUUUGCUUCUGGUGCUGAAUGCGAACCUGACUCCACUGUAAAAGAUGACUGGGAAUCCGGCGGCUGUUUCCUGGGGGAAUAGUCACAGUUUCAGUGAGCACCUACCAGCCGGUACACCUGUUGUUGUGAGACCUUGUCCUGCUGGCUCAGAGGUGUAAUUCCGUUAUUCCUGAGCGCCAGGCAUUGUAUUCACAGGAAGCAGCAACAGGACUUGGGCUCAGACUUGGAAACCUUGAGCCCUAGCCUCCCAGAGUGCUGGCUUGUGACAUCACAGAGGCUCUUUUGUAGUGUUUUUGAUACGGGAAGAAUGAAUAGGCAUUUUUAGAGUGAUUUGUGUUUGAUCCUGUAGAGCCUACAAAGUCGGAAAGGCUAGCUCAAAAUAGCAAGCAGUUCUGUCUUCCUGUUACAGGGUGUUUCCCCCUAAACUCCAGCUGCAUAUAGAUGAAAAGGAAUGAGAGAUGGUAGGGUGAUACUAUGAAGAUUAAAUGAGUUAAAGCAUGAAAAUCCCUUGAAGAACGCAUGAUACAAAGCAUACUCCAUAAACACACUAAUUGUUCACAGAUAAAGGUGACAUAUGAAAUUGUGAUACUCUAAGGAUGGACAGACCUGUCAUGGAUUUGUCAGAGCCCUUACAGUGCACAAUGCAGAAUGAACCCCAGUGUAGCCAUCAACUGCGAGUUGGGGGCUUGUCUAUGGAGGUUUAUCUUGGGACACGGUGGUGCACAAUGAUAACGGUGGUGCACAAUGAUAACGGGGGAGGUUGGUAAUGGGGGGGGGAAGGACAGAAAAUAUAUGAAAUUCUAAUCUCCCUGUGGUUUCUCUGUGAAAGUAAAACUUCUAAAAAGUAAUCCCAUGUAUCAUUUUUUCAAUUAUUGGAAUGCUGUACAGUUGUGUAGAACUUAGGUUUGAAAGGAACUUUUGUGCAUUACUGAUACUGAACCCAGGGCCUCUGCAUGGGUAAGCUCUAUCUCCUUUUAAAAUGUUUUAUUUUGAGACAAGGUCUUGCUAGUCACUGAGUUACCCAGGCUGUUUGAACCAUGAUCCUUCUGCCUAGGCCUUUCAGAGUGCUAGGGUUACAGGCAUAUACCACCAUUCCCAAACUGGGAUGUGGCAAGAUCCCAGUGUUCAAGUCUGAACCCAGUGUGGGCAACUGAGCAAAACCCUGCCAAAAAAGGACAAAGAUGAGUGUGCCAGGGAUGUAGCUCAGUAUGAAGGCCCUGGGCUUAAUCCCCAGUCCCACAAAAGAGAAACACAAAAAAUCUUUGAGCACAGUCUCCCACCAGUCUCAGAACCACGAACUGCUCAUUUAAGAUCCUGUGUAUAUUUAAAACCUUCCCUCAUUUUAAACUCAUACUGUUCAGAUUUUCACUUGAUUAGUUAUUUUCUCCAUAAGCAUUAAGUCACAUAAUUACUUGCCAGUGAAUCAGGUGUAGCUAAUGUCACAGGCUCCUGAAGUAACUUGGUAUGUUAGAAUUCUCAUUAGAUAAACACGUAUGUGAGCCCCUUUAUCUCACAGAACCUCCUGUCCUAUAGUACGAGAUGAAGUAUGGGAAAUGCUGAAGGAGCUUACAACCUGUAAACACUUUUAGGUUUCCGCCAACAUGUUAACUUGAGUAGGGAGAUGCUAAGUAUUUUUCAGGAUUUAGUUUGUUUUUGAUCCUGAAGUGUUUUCCCAGUAAGACCUCCCUGGUCUUGACAACUCUGGAAGGGCAGGUAUGCUUUCCAUUUUAUAGGACUGGCACUUUCUGCCCAAGGUUAUGGGGCUUGUUGUAUAGCUGGAAAACUGGCAGGGCUGGACCCUCCCUAAGUCUAGAGUUGUACUUGGUGAAAAGUGUGACUGUUCUGACAGAUGCUAUCCAAACGCCUGGUUUCAAGAAAGCAUUCUGAGCAUUUUCUUAGUUUUAGUGGGGUUGGGGUUUGGGGGGGCAGGUUAUAACACUGUAAGCCCUACCAGCUGAUGUCAAGGACUUUUCCAGUUGGGAAAAUUUUUUCUUUAAAGGAUUUGUACAAUGUGAAGCAUAUUUGAAAAGGAAAAAUAAAGUGAGUUAUCUAAGAGCA